rnacentral:sRNA from 1 species
GAAUGUUGGAACACUAACGUGGAAAA